AUGCUGCCUGUUUGCCGGCCGUCGGCGGUGUACCCGGUGGCCGUGGUCGCGCCGCCGCCGCAGGUAGGGCUAGCGGAUGCUCCCCCGCCCGAAGUGUGGACGAGGAUCCCGCAGGGGACGCCGGGGACGCUUGGCGGGGUCGGCCUCCGCCUCCUGCAGGCCCUCUUCGCUGCCGCCUCGAUCGCCGUCAUGGCGUCCACCGACAUCUUCCCCUUCUGCUCCGCCUUCAGCUACCUCAUAGCAGCUACCAGUCUGCAAUGUUUGUGGAGCAUCGCACUAGCCUUUGUGUAUAUCUAUGCACUUCUUGUCAAAUGUUCCUUGUUAAAUCUCCGAGCUGUACGCAUAUUUUUCGUUGGAGACUGGAUCACAGGGACCGUAACCUUGAGUGCAGCAUGUGCAUCGGCAGGCAUCACUAUUCUGAUUGAUAAUGAUGUGAAGUACUGCGAAGCCCUUCCUUGUUUAAGGUUGAGGACUGCUGUUACAAUGGCUUUCAUCAGCUGGUGUGCACUUGUGCCGUCCUUUCUCUUUAACUUCGCCUACACCACCACCACAUUGGCAAGAUUGGGAAUGUGGGGAUAA
rnacentral:rRNA from 1 species